GUACACUCCUGCGGGAGGCAGCAGUGGGGAAUAUUGGACAAUGGGCGCAAGCCUGAUCCAGCCAUGCCGCGUGAGUGAUGAAGGCCCUAGGGUUGUAAAGCUCUUUCACCGGUGAAGAUAAUGACGGUAACCGGAGAAGAAGCCCCGGCUAACUUCGUGCCAGCAGCCGCGGUAAUACGAAGGGGGCUAGCGUUGUUCGGAUUUACUGGGCGUAAAGCGCACGUAGGCGGACUAUUAAGUCAGGGGUGAAAUCCCGGGGCUCAACCCCGGAACUGCCUUUGAUACUGGUAGUCUUGAGUUCGAGAGAGGUGAGUGGAAUUCCGAGUGUAGAGGUGAAAUUCGUAGAUAUUCGGAGGAACACCAGUGGCGAAGGCGGCUCACUGGCUCGAUACUGACGCUGAGGUGCGAAAGCGUGGGGAGCAAACAGGAUUAGAAACCCCGGUAGUCCCA
rnacentral:rRNA from 1 species